AUGGUCUGGUCCUUUGGUUGCUGGUGCUUUGGCUGCAAUGAUGUCUCUUGGCGAAGAAGGUUUUCACAAUAUUAUCUUCAUCUUUCUCAGGCUUCUCGGCGAACACUGUUGGAGCUUUCAACUGGUUGAAUCUGUUGUUCCACAGGAUACCUACAGAACACAAGCAAGAUAAUGGAAGGCAUCCAAGAGACUAGAGGAAGGAGUAAGAGGAAUCAGUGAACUGUUUGUCGUUGCAAAGCCAGAUAUGACAAUCGUGGCGUUUGGUUCUAAAGCAUUAGGAUAUCUUUGAAGUUAAUGACAUCAUGUCCUCCAAAGGCUGGCAUUUGAAUGCACUACAGAGACCCAACAGGUGAAAGCAAACCUAGGACCCAUCAAAGGAGGCUUGGCUCCAAUCUAUGGAGCAGUAGGGAAGAUGCCAGACCGAGGCACGGUGAACGAGCUUCU